UAAACGCGAAAUGUGUUGUGACUUGCAAUCUUUGUGAAACAUCAAUCUUUGAACGCACCUUGUACCUAGAGGUUCGCCUCUCGGUGUGCCUGUUUGAGUAUGGCAUUGAAGCUCACUCACUCGUCGUAAGAGAGUGGUGGCAUUGAGCGCGCCGGCGGCCGCUUGAAAGAGAGGGCGCGACCACGUGACCAUCCGGGGAUAGAUGAUCUGGACGACCACGUGACCGCGCACAGCUUCGGCACCACACACACGCAUCUCAAAUCAGGCAGGACGACCCGCUGAACUUAA
rnacentral:misc_RNA from 1 species